UAAAAAUAAAAUAAAAAUCCUAGUCUUAGGAUCCUUGUUGUGCCCAUCUCUGGCAGCCAGCAGCACCCACAUGCCAGCAAGUGAAGGUCUGCGCUGUGCCUUGGCUUUCCUGGGUGAACCCUGGCAUGCAUUUCUCAGUUGGGCACCAGCCUGCUCAUUUUGCACCAACUCUCUACCGGUCCCCUCCUACCUUUCUCCCUUGGCGGUUGCUAUGGCAGCGAUGGCAAUUGGUGGGUGCUUGGCUGGGGGGGUGGGCUGCUGUGCUUUGUUUUUAGUUCAGCUCUGGAGCCUCCGGGCCCUGGAGCUCCACUGAGUUGUUGCUGGGGCACUCUUGGUCCCAAUGGGGUUGAGAUUGUCAGGGGAGUCCCGGGGGCUCCGUGUGGCCUCUUUGGUUUCUGUGGUGAGCACUCCGACUCUCCUUGGAUCAUGGUGGCGGCAGUGGCUGUAUUAGUGGUGCGGGGACCAGUCAAGCAGUGCAGCUGGUGCUGCUAAGGAGCUCUGCAGGGCCGUGGUGCCUCGCCAUCUUGCCUCUCCAGAAGUUCUCACAUGUGAAUAUGUUUUGAUGUGGUUUGUCUGACACACUAAGCUACACCUUGACUUAGAGAGAAAGCACAAAUGUGCUUAGAUAAGCCAAUGUAUGGCAUAGCAUGUGGGCCAAACCAGGACUAAUGGUUAAGCUUUAUCCUUGUUAACCACAAGCUGAGAUUUGUUCUCAGUAAACCACACUAAGCUGCUGUCCAUUUUAUUAGAACUAAAAUUGUUCUAUGUACCUCCCUGAGUUUUGUUCAGGCAGAGGGAAUCUUCAAAUCAUUGUUUUUUUCCUAGUACUUGGGUUUGUUUAGGCAGGGGUUUCAUUGUGACUGCUCAUUAAAGAUUACUAAUACUAAAGUGGUAAUUUAUGUGACUUGUUAAUGGAAUAAAACAACUUUAUUUGAGAAUUUAUUCUAACCACCCCUGCUGGAACUAAGCUGAAUGAAUUUAUCCUGUGGCCAGAAAUAGCAACAUGUGCACUAUGGACACGAUGUCAUAUGUCUUAUACAUUACUUCUUUAGAUGUUGGACAAUUAUUAAAUAUGAGAAAAUUUCAAGCAGGAAUUCUGUUAAAUCACUUAAGUGGCUUGAGGUAGAAACUACAGUAGAGCCAGCUAUAUAAACAUGUCUAUCUUGCAAAUAAAAAGAUAUGAAGUAUUAAAGGCUGUGUCAGACACACAGUCGCAAGAGAAAACAGCCACAUUUUAUGCAGUGAAUUGAGUGAAAAAAUUCAGAAGCUUGAUAAAACAACAUAUCACUUUCUGCAUCCAUAAUAGAUCAGUUGCAUAUUGGCCACUUCCCACAGUGGGCCUGCAACCUGUGCUCACUUUACAUAUACUAUUGCAACAUACCACGUGUAGAGAGAGAAUAAAUAAAUAAAACACACACACCUGUGCACCAAGUCGGUUUUCCUUACUUCCUGGGUUCUGGUAAGUAAGCAUUUGGAAAAUUAACAGGUAUUUGGAAAAUUAAAAAUAUGCUGCACAUAAUCAAAUUUUAGCUGGGCUUUAUCAAGACAGUAGUAGUUGUAACAAUAUUAAAAAGUUCCUUCCAGUAGCACAGUAGAGACCUCUAAGGUGCUACUGGAAGGAACUUUUAAAUUUUGUUUUGACUACAGCAGACCAACACGGCUACCUACCUGUAACUCCUAGUAGUUGUAGUCUUUCUGCUAAACUUUUAGUUUGCAGUGCUGUAUGAUGGAUACUUUUGCAAUCAGAAAAGUAGUGUGUAUAUGGUUACUGCAUUUUUU